rnacentral:lncRNA from 1 species
GUAAAGAGUAAUAAUAGAGGACUGGAGGAGGCCAGAUCGAGGAUGAUAUUCCUGAACUUUUGGAAUGAUGGAAACAACAGACACAGCAAAGCACAGGAUCAUAUUAAAGCUUAUGAAGAAUUUGUUUUCAGUGCAAUCCUCAGGCGUUGUAUAGAAAACAUAGAAAAGCACAACAAAAACCACUGACAAGCCAUAGAACAAGCUUGUACAGGACAGCAGAGCUGCAUACCAACACUUAGAAUUUCCCUCCUCC